rnacentral:lncRNA from 1 species
UACAUGUAUACACACACAUACGUUUAUACAUACACAAACGUAUAUAUACACAUACGUAUAUAUACAUGUAUACACACACACACGUAUAUAUAUCUGUAAUUGAUUCAUGGAACAGAGAAAAGGUGGCUGUCAUAUGGAGUGGUGGUAACUGGCCAGGCUCUGGGGCUGGGUAGCCUAAGUCCCAGCUCUGCCACCCACAGUGGAAAGUUAUUUAACUUCUUUGUGUUUUAAUUUGCUUAUAUGUCAAAAGGGGAGAACAGUACCUACCUCUUGAGGUUGUUGUGGGAAUUAAUUAAUAUAUGUAAAACACUUUAACAGUGCCCAGUCCCUAGUAAGAGAUGCACAGACACUUAUACUUGUUCUGAGUUGUGGUAGUGGUAUUUAGCAAAAUAAUAGGGCCAGAAAUCAGGAAUUAAGGAGGAGAUCUUAACUGGGCUUCUUUUCCCUCCUGUUUUUGUGGUUUAUAUCCCUGCGGUGCUCCUUGGCAGAUAAAUACGACCUUAAUUUUCUACGUACUACCCCCAGAAUGCUGGAGGCAUCCUCUGUUGUUUUGUGCCCCUUACCAAAUUCUGGCCGUGUCUGCUUCAACUGAGAGCAUCAAGACCAACCCCUUCUCUUCCUCCGCGUACUCAAUGUAAA